AUGGAGUCAGUCGACAAAGGCCUAGGAAAGCAGAUACUUGUCGAAGGCUACGGUGGCACAGGAAAAACCUAUCUAUGGAAAGCAAUAACGACAAAGCUAAGAUCAGAGGGGAAGGUAGUGCUUGCGGUAGCAUCAUGUGGCAUUGCAGCAUUGCUUCUCCAAGGUGGAAGAACAUCACACUCAAGGUUCCGUAUUCCACUUAAUAUCACUGAAGAAUCAACGUGUGAAAUAAAACAAGGCUCGCAUUUGGCUGAACUGCUAAAGAAGACAUCACUUAUAUUGUGGGACGAGGCUCCUAUGGCAAACAAACACUGCUUCGAGGCACUAGACAAAAGCAUGAGAGAUAUUCUAAGGUUCACUAAUAAAACAGCGAUGACAAGCCAUUUGGUGGAAUGA
rnacentral:rRNA from 1 species